AGGAGGAGGAAGCAGUAGUUAGUGGAGGAAAGUCUGCCAAAGCAGCAGUGCCAGGCAGAACAAUGGUUCUGAGCAGGGCUGAAAAAAAGGAUGCAGACUCUUAAAGGGGAUUUUCACUCCAAAUACAGGGAAGCAGAAGAUGAGAUAGAGGGAAGGGCAGUGAUACAGACUGGUAACAGGCUGAAUGAUGCCGCUGGACAGAUUACGACUGGUGUUCAUACCAAAGCAGACCAUCUGGAAAUGCAAUCGGAACCCAACAACCUCAGGGGAUUACUGAGCCCAGCAGAGCAUGAAAGGAAGGCAUUGUACCCACCACUAUUUGGCGGUGUCAUGACCUUAGCUCCAUGCAGCAAUUACUUUGACCCUUUAAUAUAACUGUGUCAAGUGCAGUCACAUUCACAGGUGCCUGUUCAAUCUGCCCUCAUCACAGAAGCACAGGCAAUGCAUGCCGGCAGGUACCUUUCACUAUACAGCGUUACAGUAUUUGACAAA